rnacentral:lncRNA from 1 species
UUAGGUUGGGUUCUCCCACAAGUAGAACUGAGACAAAGAUCUGAGAGCAAGUUAUUAGGGAGGUGACCCCAAGAAGCACCAGCAGGCGCACAGAGAAUGAAGGCAAGGAAGAGAAGAAAGCCAAGGCAAUGUUCGUGAAUGAAAAGGUUACUGCUGUGGGGCGCCAGGGUACAAUCCCACUGGGCACCUCUAAGAGACUAUGUAGAACAUGCCACAGAGCUGUCCUACCUCGACAGUGAGGAGCUAACAUUUUUGCCAACAACUCCUGCCUGCCUCCGCAAGGAUGGCCAACUUCCCAACAUGUCCGGCAUGGAACUCGCAUGCUCCUGCAGCCAGAGAUCACCCUCUGGUGGACCAGUGGGUGUCAUGGAUCAGAAGUUUGUCUUCAAGCCUCCCAGAAGUGGCGUUCUGAAGUUACAGCCUCCCUCUUUCUGGCCUUUCUGUAAGCCCGUGUCUCAGACAGCUUUUCCCGGACUACUGACAUACUUUCCCUGGGCAAUACAGGGGCCUCUCCGUGGCCUCCCCCUGCUACCCUCCAGCCUCCACUGGCCACGCCCACCCUGCUCCAGAUCCUAGGUGUGGAUGACCUUGGCUGUGAUCUUUCUCCUGCCUUCAUCCUGGGAAGCUCAACACAUCACCUAGAGUUAGCUACUAAGACAAAUGUGAUGGCAAGGGCCGCAUGCAUGGGAGUCAGAAAACACGGGUUCGAGUUCUAACCCUUUCCCUUUGUGGCUGACGGUGGGCCAACAGCUCCACCUGCCCGGGGCUAAGUUUCCACAUCUAUAAAUGAUGGACAAAAGUCCUUGAGUGUCUUCUAGCUCUAACACUCUAUGAUUUUUAUGACGCAAGGGAUCUACGCCUAAGAGAAGACAGCUCGUCUCUCUACAGAUGGCCCUACGUUUCAGCAAUGACUUAAUUCCCCCAAGGGAGGCUUUGUGCUUCUGAAGCCCUGCUUGGUCGCUUCAUUACAUAGGUCGCUGUCACCCCCGCCCUCCACUUUGACAAGACGCACUGCAAAUAGCAAUCGCAGAAGGUAGACAAACACUUCCUUAGGAGGGUUGACGUGGGUGAUCAAUGACAUCGUUGUGAAAAUGCCAGCAAGUUUGGGCAUUCUCUUUUAAAAACCUCUUUCUUUAGAAAAUUGUCUUUUGAAACACCGUGACCCGAUUCUCAGGGAGGGACUGAUUACAAAGCCUGGGGUUUCUCGCCAAGGCAGGGAGUUUUUGACUUCCACUUAAUGAUUAAAGACUAGGAGAAAAGCACAACAAUCAAAGCCUUGCAUCCUUAUCUGAUUGGAUCAGGCUGGGUUGAGAUCCAUGGGAACGGAGCCGUCUGUCUGGAGAGUACGCUGG